UACAGAGGGUGCAAGCGUUGUUCGGAAUUAUUGGGCGUAAAGGGCGCGUAGGCGGUGCGGUAAGUCUUUUGUGAAAUCUCCGGGCUCAACUCGGAGUCUGCAGGAGAAACUGCCGUGCUUGAGUAUGGGAGAGGUGAGUGGAAUUCCUGGUGUAGCGGUGAAAUGCGUAGAUAUCAGGAGGAACACCUGUGGCGAAAGCGGCUCACUGGACCAUUACUGACACUGAGGCGCGAAAGCUAGGGGAGCAAACAGG
rnacentral:rRNA from 1 species